GAUGAACGCUGGCGGCGUGCCUAAUACAUGCAAGUCGAGCGAACGGACGAGAAGCUUGCUUUUCUGAUGUUAGCGGCGGACGGGUGAGUAACACGUGGAUAACCUACCUAUAAGACUGGGAUAACUUCGGGAAACUGGAGCUAAUGCCGGAUAAUAUUUUGAACCGCAUGGUUCAAAAGUGAAAGACGGUCUUGCUGUCACUUAUAGAUGGAUCCGCGCUGCAUUAGCUAGUUGGUAAGGUAACGGCUUACCAAGGCAACGAUGCAUAGCCGACCUGAGAGGGUGAUCGGCCACACUGGAACUGAGACACGGUCCAGACUCCUACGGGAGGCAGCAGUAGGGAAUCUUCCGCAAUGGGCGAAAGCCUGACGGAGCAACGCCGCGUGAGUGAUGAAGGUCUUCGGAUCGUAAAACUCUGUUAUUAGGGAAGAACAUAUGUGUAAGUAACUGUGCACAUCUUGACGGUACCUAAUCAGAAAGCCACGGCUAACUACGUG
rnacentral:rRNA from 1 species